rnacentral:rRNA from 1 species
UACGGAGGAGGCAAGCGUUAUCCGGAAUUAUUGGGCGUAAAGCGUCCGCAGGUGGCUAGUCAAGUCGGCGGUCAAAGACUGGGGCUCAACUCCAGAAAAGCCGUGGAAACUGACAAGCUAGAGGGCGGUAGGGGUAGAGGGAAUUCCCGGUGUAGCGGUGAAAUGCGUAGAGAUCGGGAAGAACAUCGGUGGCGAAAGCGCUCUACUGGACCGCAACUGACACUAAUGGACGAAAGCUAGGGGAGCGAAUGGG